GUGUAUAUGUAUAGUACAGUCUUGUUUACGCAACCCUCCAGAAAUUCAAACACACCAACCAAACCAACAGGAGCAGGGAACAAAAUACACAGUGACACAGAAUAUGUACAUUUUCUGAAAUCUGUGAAUUAUUUUUGUGUGGGUGUGUCUGUGUGUUGGGG